rnacentral:rRNA from 1 species
UACGUAGGGUGCGAGCGUUAAUCGGAAUUACUGGGCGUAAAGCGUGCGCAGGCGGUUUUGUAAGCCAGAUGUGAAAGCCCCGGGCUUAACCUGGGAAUGGCAUUUGGGACUGCAAGGCUUGGAGUGCGGCAGAGGAGACUGGAAUUCCUGGUGUAGCAGUGAAAUGCGUAGAUAUCAGGAGGAAUACCGAUGGCGAAGGCAGGUCUCUGGGCUGACACUGACGCUCAUG